GCUAAAAACUUAGCCUUACCCCUACAAUUAUAUUUACCCUAUUUUACUUACACAAAAUAAAACAUUCUUUAAGCUUAGUAAAGGAGAUAAAAAAGUUUUUUAGAGCUAUAAAAUAAGUACCGCAAGGGAAAAAUGAAAUAAAAAUGAAACAAAAUUCAAGCAUAAUAUAGUAGAGUUUUCCCCUCGUACCUUUUGCAUCAUGAUUCAACUAGUUUAACCACGCAAAAAGAAUUUAAGUUUGACUUCCCGAAACUAAGUGAGCUACUUCAGGGCAGCUAAAUGAGCCAACCCGUCUCUGUUGCAAAAGAGUGGGAUGACCCUUAAGUAGAGGUGAUAAACCUAACGAACUUAGUGAUAGCUGGUUAUUCAGGAAAAGAAUUUUAGUUCAACUUAAAAUUACAUAAAUAAAAUAAAAUAAAAUUUUAAUUUUAAAGCAAUUCAAAUAAGGUACAGCCUAUUUGAAAUAGAAUACAAUCUAAACUAUAGGGUAAAUAUAAAAAAUUAAUGUAAUAAAGUAGGCCUAAAAGCAGCCAACUUUAAAAUAGCGUCAAAGCUUACUUCCAUAAUUUUUUAAUACUAUUAUUUACAAUGAACCCUUUAUUUUUACUGAAUAUUUCUAUAAAGUUAUAGAACCUUUUAUGUUGAAACUAGUAACAAGAAGUUAAACUUCUCCUCAAUAUAAGUAUAAGUCGACUAGGAUAAACCAUCGACAAUUAACGCUUAAAUUAAAUGUAUUAACUCCACAAGAAAAACUUACAUUACCCCACG
rnacentral:rRNA from 1 species